GGUAGGGCUGGGCUUUUCAUUGACCAUGGGUUGGAAUAGUUCUGUGGGCAUAGUGUGUCUUCGAAGCCACUAUGUUUUCUGCACUUGUGACUAGAGAGCACCUUGAUAGCUCAGUUGGUAGAGCGGUAGACUGUAAAAUGCUCCUUGUGUGAAACGCUGUCAUCCUAAGGUCGCUGGUUCAACUCCAGCCGGAAGCACCUCCUUGUCAUUGGAAAUACCCCCAAGCCUUGUCUUUAUCUGUCAACUCCUCCAAAAUGUAAAAACACAAACAAGAUAACUCUUUCUUAAAUUUUCAACCAUCAAUUUUUUAUUCACCCAGCCUAAAAGUCCUGAUUAUCAGUUCUGGGUCCCUGGCAAUGACUGUUGGGUACAAACUGCAAAGCUUUGUUCGUCAGGUAGGGCUGGGCUUUUCAUUGACCAUGGGUUGGAAUAGUUCUGUGGGCAAAGUGUGUCUUCGAAGCCACUAUGUUUUCUGCACUUGUGACUAGAGAGCACCUUGAUAGCUCAGUUGGUAGAGCGUUGUACUGUAAGAUGCUCCUUGUGUGAAACGCUGUGAUCCUAAGGUGGCUGGUUCAACUCCAGCCGGAAGCACCUCCUUGUCAUUGGAAAUACCCCCAAGCCUUGUCUUUAUCUGUCAACUCCUCCAAAAUGUAAAAACACAAACAAGAUAACUCUUUCUUAAAUUUUCAACCAUCAAUUUUUUAUUCACCCAGCCUAAAAGUCCUGAUUAUCAGUUCUGGGUCCCUGGCAAUGACUGUUGGGUACAAACUGCAAAGCUUUGUUCGUCAGGUAGGGCUGGGCUUUUCAUUGACCAUGGGUUGGAAUAGUUCUGUGGGCAUAGUGUGUCUUCGAAGCCACUAUGUUUUCUGCACUUGUGACUAGAGAGCACCUUGAUAGCUCAGUUGGUAGAGCGGUGGACUGUAAGAUGCUCCUUGUGUGAAACGCUGUGAUCCUAAGGUCGCUGGUUCAACUCCAGCCGGAAGCACCUCCUUGUCAUUGGAAAUACCCCCAAGCCUUGUCUUUAUCUGUCAACUCCUCCAAAAUGUAAAAACACAAACAAGAUAACUCUUUCUUAAAUUUUCAACCAUCAAUUUUUUAUUCACCCAGCCUAAAAGUCCUGAUUAUCAGUUCUGGGUCCCUGGCAAUGACUGUUGGGUACAAACUGCAAAGCUUUGUUCUGCAGGUAGGGCUGGGCUUUUCAUUGAACCAUGGGUUGGAAUAGUUCUGUGGGCAUAGUGUGUCUUCGAAGCCACUAUGUUUUCUGCACUUGUGACUAGAGAGCACCUUGAUAGCUCAGUUGGUAGAACGGUGGACUGUAAGAUGCUCCUUGUGUGAAACGCUGUGAUCCUAAGGUGGCUGUUUCAACUCCAGCCGGAAGCACCUCCUUGUCAUUGGAAAUACCCCCAAGCCUUGUCUUUAUCUGUCAACUCCUCCAAAAUGUAAAAACACAAACAAGAUAACUCUUUCUUAAAUUUUCAACCAUCAAUUUUUUAUUCACCCAGCCUAAAAGUCCUGAUUAUCAGUUCUGGGUCCCUGGCAAUGACUGUUGGGUACAAACUGCAAAGCUUUGUUCGUCAGGUAGGGCUGGGCUUUUCAUUGACCAUGGGUUGGAAUAGUUCUGUGGGCAUAGUGUGUCUUCGAAGCCACUAUGUUUUCUGCACUUGUGACUACAGAGCACCUUGAUAGCUCAGCUGGUAGAACGGUGGACUGUAAGAUGCUCCUUGUGUGAAACGCUGUGAUCCUAAGGUGGCUGGUUCAACUCCAGCCGGAAGCACCUCCUCGUCAUUGGAAAUGCCCCCAAGCCUUGUCUUUAUCUGUCAACUCCUCCAAAAUGUAAAAACACAAACAAGAUAACUCUUUCUUAAAUUUUCAACCAUCAAUUUUUUAUUCACCCAGCCUAAAAGUCCUGAUUAUCAGUUCUGGGUCCCUGGCAAUGACUGUUGGGUACAAACUGCAAAGCUUUGUUCGUCAGGUAGGGCUGGGCUUUUCAUUGACCAUGGGUUGGAAUAGUUCUGUGGGCAUAGUGUGUCUUCGAAGCCACUAUGAUUUCUGCACUAGUGACUAGAGAGCCCCUUGAUAGCUCAGUUGGUAGAGCGGUGGACUGUAAGAUGCUCCUUGUGUGAAACGCUGUGAUCCUAAGGUCGCUGGUUCAACUCCUGCCGGAAGCACCUCCUUGUCAUUGGAAAUACCCCCAAGCCUUGUCUUUAUCUGUCAACUCCUCCAAAAUGUAAAAACACAAACAAGAUAACUCGUUCUUAAAUUUUCAACCAUCAAUUUUUUAUUCACCCAGCCUAAAAGUCCUGAUUAUCAGUUCUGGGUCCCUGGCAAUGACUGUUGGGUACAAACUGCAAAGCUUUGUUCGUCAGGUAGGGCUGGGCUUUUCAUUGACCAUGGGUUGGAAUAGUUCUGUGGGCAUAGUGUGUCUUCGAAGCCACUAUGUUUUCUGCACUUGUGACUAGAGAGCACCUUGAUAGCUCAAUUGGUAGAGCGGUGGACUCUAAGAUGCUCCUUGUGUGAAACGCUGUGAUCCUAAGGUGGCUGGUUCAACUCCAGCCGGAAGCACCUCCUUGUCAUUGGAAAUACCCCCAAGCCUUGUCUUUAUCUGUCAACUCCUCCAAAAUGUAAAAACACAAACAAGAUAACUCUUUCUUAAAUUUUCAACCAUCAAUUUUUUAAUCACCCAGCCUAAAAGUCCUGAUUAUCAGUUCUGGGUCCCUGGCAAUGACUGCUGGGUACAAACUGCAAAGCUUUGUUCUGCAGGUAGGGCUGGGCUUUUCAUUGACCAUGGGUUGGAAUAGUUCUGUGGGCAUAGUGUGUCUUCGAAGCCACUAUGUUUUCUGCACUUGUGACUAGAGAGCACCUUGAUAGCUCAGUUGGUAGAGCGGUGGACUGUAAGAUGCUCCUUGUGUAAAACGCUUUGAUCCUAAGGUCGCUGGUUCAACUCCAGCCGCAAGCACCUCCUUGUCAUUGGAAAUACCCCCAACCCUUGUCUUUAUCUGUCAACUCCUCCAAAAUGUAAAAACACAAACAAGAUAACUCUUUCUUAAAUUUUCAACCAUCAAUUUUUUAUUCACCCAGCCUAAAAGUCCUGAUUAUCAGUUCUGGGUCCCUGGCAAUGACUGUUGGGUACAAACUGCAAAGCUUUGUUCGUCAGGUAGGGCUGGGCUUUUCAUUGACCAUGGGUUGGAAUAGUUCUGUGGGCAUAGUGUGUCUUAGAAGCCACUAUGUUUUCUGCACUUGUGACUAGAGAGCACCUUGAUAGCUCAGUUGGUAGAGCGGUGGACUGUAAGAUGCUCCUUGUGUGAAACGCUGUGAUCCUAAGGUCGCUGGUUCAACUCCAGCCGGAAGCACCUCCUUGUCAUUGGAAAUACCCCCAAGCCUUGUCUUUAUCUGUCAACUCCUCCAAAAUGUAAAAACACAAACAAGAUAACUCUUUCUUAAAUUUUCAACCAUCAAUUUUUUAUUCACCCAGCCUAAAAGUCCUGAUUAUCAGUUCUGGGUCCCUGGCAAUGACUGUUGGGUACAAACUGCAAAGCUUUGUUCGUCAGGUAGGGCUGGGCUUUUCAUUGACCAUGGGUUGGAAUAGUUCUGUGGGCAUAGUGUGUCUUCGAAGCCACUAUGUUUUCUGCACUUGUGACUAGAGAGCACCUUGAUAGCUCAGUUGGUAGAGCGGUGGACUGUAAGAUGCUCCUUGUGUGAAACGCUGUGAUCCUAAGGUCGCUGGUUCAACUCCAGCCGGAAGCACCUCCUUGUCAUUGGAAAUACCCCCAAGCCUUGUCUUUAUCUGUCAACUCCUCCAAAAUGUAAAAACACAAACAAGAUAACUCUUUCUUAAAUUUUCAACCAUCAAUUUUUUAUUCACCCAGCCUAAAAGUCCUGAUUAUCAGUUCUGGGUCCCUGGCAAUGACUGUUGGGUACAAACUGCAAAGCUUUGUUCGUCAGGUAGGGCUGGGCUUUUCAUUGACCAUGGGUUGGAAUAGUUCUGUGGGCAUAGUGUGUCUUCGAAGCCACUAUGUUUUCUGCACUUGUGACUAGAGAGCACCUUGAUAGCUCAGUUGGUAGAGCGGUAGACUGUAAAAUGCUCCUUGUGUGAAACGCUGUCAUCCUAAGGUCGCUGGUUCAACUCCAGCCGGAAGCACCUCCUUGUCAUUGGAAAUACCCCCAAGCCUUGUCUUUAUCUGUCAACUCCUCCAAAAUGUAAAAACACAAACAAGAUAACUCUUUCUUAAAUUUUCAACCAUCAAUUUUUUAUUCACCCAGCCUAAAAGUCCUGAUUAUCAGUUCUGGGUCCCUGGCAAUGACUGUUGGGUACAAACUGCAAAGCUUUGUUCGUCAGGUAGGGCUGGGCUUUUCAUUGACCAUGGGUUGGAAUAGUUCUGUGGGCAAAGUGUGUCUUCGAAGCCACUAUGUUUUCUGCACUUGUGACUAGAGAGCACCUUGAUAGCUCAGUUGGUAGAGCGUUGUACUGUAAGAUGCUCCUUGUGUGAAACGCUGUGAUCCUAAGGUGGCUGGUUCAACUCCAGCCGGAAGCACCUCCUUGUCAUUGGAAAUACCCCCAAGCCUUGUCUUUAUCUGUCAACUCCUCCAAAAUGUAAAAACACAAACAAGAUAACUCUUUCUUAAAUUUUCAACCAUCAAUUUUUUAUUCACCCAGCCUAAAAGUCCUGAUUAUCAGUUCUGGGUCCCUGGCAAUGACUGCUGGGUACAAACUGCAAAGCUUUGUUCUGCAGGUAGGGCUGGGCUUUUCAUUGACCAUGGGUUGGAAUAGUUCUGUGGGCAUAGUGUGUCUUCGAAGCCACUAUGUUUUCUGCACUUGUGACUAGAGAGCACCUUGAUAGCUCAGUUGGUAGAGCGGUGGACUGUAAGAUGCUCCUUGUGUAAAACGCUUUGAUCCUAAGGUCGCUGGUUCAACUCCAGCCGCAAGCACCUCCUUGUCAUUGGAAAUACCCCCAACCCUUGUCUUUAUCUGUCAACUCCUCCAAAAUGUAAAAACACAAACAAGAUAACUCUUUCUUAAAUUUUCAACCAUCAAUUUUUUAUUCACCCAGCCUAAAAGUCCUGAUUAUCAGUUCUGGGUCCCUGGCAAUGACUGUUGGGUACAAACUGCAAAGCUUUGUUCGUCAGGUAGGGCUGGGCUUUUCAUUGACCAUGGGUUGGAAUAGUUCUGUGGGCAUAGUGUGUCUUAGAAGCCACUAUGUUUUCUGCACUUGUGACAAGAGAGCACCUUGAUAGCUCAGUUGGUAGAGCGGUGGACUGUAAGAUGCUCCUUGUGUGAAACGCUGUGAUCCUAAGGUCGCUGGUUCAACUCCAGCCGGAAGCACCUCCUUGUCAUUGGAAAUACCCCCAAGCCUUGUCUUUAUCUGUCAACUCCUCCAAAAUGUAAAAACACAAACAAGAUAACUCUUUCUUAAAUUUUCAACCAUCAAUUUUUUAUUCACCCAGCCUAAAAGUCCUGAUUAUCAGUUCUGGGUCCCUGGCAAUGACUGUUGGGUACAAACUGCAAAGCUUUGUUCGUCAGGUAGGGCUGGGCUUUUCAUUGACCAUGGGUUGGAAUAGUUCUGUGGGCAUAGUGUGUCUUCGAAGCCACUAUGUUUUCUGCACUUGUGACUAGAGAGCACCUUGAUAGCUCAGUUGGUAGAGCGGUGGACUGUAAGAUGCUCCUUGUGUGAAACGCUGUGAUCCUAAGGUCGCUGGUUCAACUCCAGCCGGAAGCACCUCCUUGUCAUUGGAAAUACCCCCAAGCCUUGUCUUUAUCUGUCAACUCCUCCAAAAUGUAAAAACACAAACAAGAUAACUCUUUCUUAAAUUUUCAACCAUCAAUUUUUUAUUCACCCAGCCUAAAAGUCCUGAUUAUCAGUUCUGGGUCCCUGGCAAUGACUGCUGGGUACAAACUGCAAAGCUUUGUUCUGCAGGUAGGGCUGGGCUUUUCAUUGACCAUGGGUUGGAAUAGUUCUGUGGGCAUAGUGUGUCUUCGAAGCCACUAUGUUUUCUGCACUUGUGACUAGAGAGCACCUUGAUAGCUCAUUUGGUAGAGCGGUGGACUGUAAGAUGCUCCUUGUGUGAAAAGCUGUGAUCCUAAGGUCGCUGGUUCAACUCCAGCCGGAAGCACCUCCUUGUCAUUGGAAAUACCCCCAAGCUCUGUCUUUAUCUGUCAACUCCUCCAAAAUGUAAAAACACAAACAAGAUAACUCUUUCUUAAAUUUUCAACCAUCAAUUUUUUUUUCACCCAGCCUAAAAGUCCUGAUUAUCAGUUCUGGGUCCCUGGCAAUGACUGUUGGUUACAAAUUGCAAAGCUUUGUUCGUCAGGUAGGGCUGGGCUUUUCAUUGACCAUGGGUUGGAAUAGUUCUGUGGGCAUAGUGUGUCUUCGAAGCCACUAUGUUUUCUGCACUUGUGACUAGAGAGCACCUUGAUAGCUCAGUUGGUAGAGCGGUGGACUGUAAGAUGCUCCUUGUGUGAAACUCUGUGAUCCUAAGGUCGCUGGUUCAACUCCAGCCGGAAGCACCUCCUUGUCAUUGGGAAUACCCCCAAGCCUUGUCUUUAUCUGUCAACUCCUCCAAAAUGUAAAAACACAAACAAGAUAACUCUUUCUUAAAUUUUCAACCAUCAAUUUUUUAUUCACCCAGCCUAAAAGUCCUGAUUAUCAGUUCUGGGUCCCUGGCAAUGACUGUUGGGUACAAACUGCAAAGCUUUGUUCUGCAGGUAGGGCUGGGCUUUUCAUUGACCAUGGGUUGGAAUAGUUCUGUGGGCAUAGUGUGUCUUAGAAGCCACUAUGUUUUUUGCACUUGUGACUAGAGAGCACCUUGAUAGCUCAGUUGGCAGAGCGGUGGACUGUAAGAUGCUCCUUGUGUGAAACGCUGUGAUCCUAAGGUCGCUGGUUCAACUCCAGCAGGAAGCACCUCCUUGUCAUUGGAAAUACCCCCAAGCCUUGUCUUUAUCUGUCAACUCCUCCAAAAUGUAAAAACACAAACAAGAUAACUCUUUCUUAAAUUUUCAACCAUCAAUUUUUUAUUCACCCAGCCUAAUAGUCCUGAUUAUCAGUUCUGGGUCCCUGGCAAUGACUGUUGGGUACAAACUGCAAAGCUUUGUUCUGCAGGUAGGGCUGGGCUUUUCAUUGACCAUGGGUUGGAAUAGUUCUGUGGGCAUAGUGUGUCUUAGAAGCCACUAUGUUUUCUGCACUUGUGACUACAGAGCACCUUGAUAGCUCAGUUGGCAGAGCGGUGGACGGUAAGAUGCUCCUUGUGUGAAACGCUGUGAUCCUAACGUCGCUGGUUCAACUCCAGCCGGAAGCACCUCCUUGUCAUUGGAAAUACCCCCAAGCCUUGUCUUUAUCUGUCAACUCCUCCAAAAUGUAAAAACACAAACAAGAUAACUCUUUCUUAAAUUUUCAACCAUCAAUUUUUUAUUCACCCAGCCUAAUAGUCCUGAUUAUCAGUUCUGGGUCCCUGGCAAUGACUGUUGGGUACAAACUGCAAAGCUUUGUUCUGCUGGUAGGGCUGGGCUUUUCAUUGACCAUGGGUUGGAAUAGUUCUGUGGGCAUAGUGUGUCUUCGAAGCCACUAUGUUUUCUGCACUUGUGACUAGAGAGCACCUUGAUAGCUCAGUUGGUAGAGCGGUGGACUGUAAGAUGCUCCUUGUGUGAAACGCUGUGAUCCUAAGGUCGCUGGUUCAACUCCA